rnacentral:rRNA from 1 species
GACGAACGCUGGCGGCGUGCCUAAUACAUGCAAGUUGAGCGCUGAAGGUUGGUACUUGUACCAACUGGAUGAGCAGCGAACGGGUGAGUAACGCGUGGGGAAUCUGCCUUUGAGCGGGGGACAACAUUUGGAAACGAAUGCUAAAACCGCAUAAAAACUUUAAAAAAAAGUUUUAAGUUUGAAAGAUGCAAUUGCAUCACUCAAAGAUGAUCCCGCGUUGUUUUAGCUAGUUGGUGAGGUAAAGGCUCACCAAGGCGAUGAUACAUAGCCGACCUGAGAGGGUGGUCGGCCACAUUGGGACUGGGACACGGCCCAAACUCCUACGGGAGGCAGCAGUAGGGAAUCUUCGGCAAUGGACGAAAGUCUGACCGAGCAACGCCGCGGGAGUGAAGAAGGUUUUCGGAUCGUAAAACUCUGUUGGUAGAGAAGAACGUUGGUGAGAGUGGAAAGCUCAUCAAGUGACGGUAACUACCCAGAAAGGGACGGCUAACUACGUG